rnacentral:rRNA from 1 species
UACGUAGGGACCAAGCGUUGUUCGGAUUUACUGGGCGUAAAGGGCGCGUAGGCGGCAUGACAAGUCACUUGUGAAAUCUCUGGGCUUAACCCAGAACGGCCAAGUGAUACUGUCGCGCUAGAGUGCGGAAGGGGCAAUCGGAAUUCUCGGUGUAGCGGUGAAAUGCGCAGAUAUCAGGAAGAACACCAAUGGCGAAAGCAGCUCUCUGGGACGGUACUGACGCUGAGACGCGAAAGCGUGGGGGAGCGAACAGG